rnacentral:snRNA from 1 species
GCUUGCUUUUGCAAAGCAUAUACUAAAAUUGGAAUGAUACAGAGAAGAUUAGCAUGGCCCCUGUGCAAGGGUGACAUGCAAAUGUGUGAAGUGUUCCAUAUAUUU